GAUGAACGCUAGCGGCAGGCUUAAUACAUGCAAGUCGAGGGGUAGCAAGAUUGUAGCAAUACAAUUGUUGACGACCGGCAAACGGGUGCGGAACACGUACACAACCUUCCUACAAGUGGGGAAUAGCCCAGAGAAAUUUGGAUUAAUACCCCGUAACAUAGCGAUGUGGCAUCACAUUGCUAUUAUAGCUUCGGCGCUUGUUGAUGGGUGUGCGGCUGAUUAGAUAGUUGGCGGGGUAACGGCCUACCAAGUCUACGAUCAGUAGCUGAUGUGAGAGCAUGUUAGGCCACACGAGCACUGAGACACGGGCCCGACUCCGACGGGAGGCAGCAGUAAGGAAUAUUGGACAAUGGACGCAAGUCUGAUCUAGCCAUGCCGCGUGAAGGAUUAAGGUCCUCUGGAUUGUAAACUUCUUUUAUAAGGGACGAAAAAAGGCUUUUCUAAGUCGUCUGACGGUACCUUAUGAAUAAGCACCGGCUAACUCCGUGCCAGCCGCCGCAGUAAGAC
rnacentral:rRNA from 1 species